UACGUAGGGGGCAAGCGUUGUCCGGAAUUAUUGGGCGUAAAGAGCGUGUAGGCGGUCCGGUAAGUCAGCUGUGAAAGUCAAGGGCUCAACCCUUGAAAGCCGGUUGAUACUGUCGGGCUAGAGUCCGGAAGAGGCGAGUGGAAUUCCCGGUGUAGCGGUGAAAUGCGCAGAUAUCGGGAGGAACACCAAUGGCGAAGGCAGCUCGCUGGGACGUUACUGACGCUAAGACGCGAAAGCGUGGGGAGCAAACAGG
rnacentral:rRNA from 1 species